rnacentral:rRNA from 1 species
GAUGAACGCUGGCGGCGUGCCUAAUACAUGCAAGUCGAGCGAACAGACGAGGAGCUUGCUCCUCUGACGUUAGCGGCGGACGGGUGAGUAACACGUGGAUAACCUACCUAUAAGACUGGGAUAACUUCGGGAAACCGGAGCUAAUACCGGAUAAUAUAUUGAACCGCAUGGUUCAAUAGUGAAAGACGGUUUUGCUGUCACUUAUAGAUGGAUCCGCGCCGCAUUAGCUAGUUGGUAAGGUAACGGCUUACCAAGGCAACGAUGCGUAGCCGACCUGAGAGGGUGAUCGGCCACACUGGAACUGGGACCCGGUCCAGGCUCCUACGGGAGGCCACAGUAGGGAAACUUCCGCAAUGGGCGAAAGCUUGGCGGAGCAACGCCGGGGGAGGGAUGAAGGUUUUCGGAUCGUAAAACUUUGUUAUUAGGGAAGAACAAAUGGGUAAGUAACUAUGCACGUCUUGACGGUACCUAAUCAGAAAGCCACGGCUAACUACGUG